GAGCAGUUGACUAUCAAUACUUCAUUCAGAGUUGUGUAUACAACAUUCUCUGCAUAAGGUUUUGCCUUUGUUUCUUUAUAAAUCGGCUUUUGUGUUUUAAUAUUACAGAUGACUUAGAUUAUUGGGUAUACUAUAACUUGCAAUUUAUUCUCACUAAUAUGUUUACUUUUUGUGAUUCAUUCCGACUAAUAAGUCACUACUGAUAUUAUAUAGGUAGUAGACUAUUACUGUAUUAUAUUUUCAAUAUAUUUUAGGCAUUUUUUACUGUAACUACCUUAUAACAAAUAAGUAUGUUUUACUUUAAUGAAACAAAUUCAUCAUUAUUGGAAGAUUCACAUUAUGAUGUUUAUUUGAUAUAUAUUUUUUGUUCAUUUUCAUCUUCCGAAAACUACUUUACUUUUGGAAACUGUUAUCCACUUUGACAUGUUGAUUUUUAUUUCUUAAAAAGCUUCUAUAAUUCUGAUAUUUUGUAGAUUCCGGAACCAUGUAUAUGAAUUUGGUAUAUUGGAAUGCAGUUUGAUGUUCUCCAUUUGUUGUUCAAAUUUUUUCUAUGUUCAAUUAAAGAUGAGUUAGAUUUUGUAUUCUAUGAUCUAAUCCGCAGUCAGAUUAUCAAACCAGACAUAUUAUGCACUCUACUACUAUGAUAUAUCCCUAUGAACAUGCAUAUGUUCUA
rnacentral:lncRNA from 1 species